AUAUAUAUAUAUACUACACACACAUACUGUAUACAUAUACAGUAUUUACAGUAUAUAUACAAUAUACUGUAUACACUGGCGGCCAAAAGUUUGGAAUAAUGUACAGAUUUUGCUCUUAUGGAAAGAAAUUGGUACUUUUAUUCACCAAAGUGGCAUUCAACUGAUCACAACUACUUCAAAGAGUUCUCAUCAAAAAAUCCUCCAUGUGCAGCAAUGACAGCUUUGGCAGAUCCUUGGCAUUCUAGCUGUCAGUUUGUCCAGAUACUCGGGUGACAUUUCACCCCACACUUCCUGUAGCACUUCUCACACACCUUACAGUCUAGCUGAUCCCACAAAAGUAACUCUUUUCCAAUUAUCUGUUGUCCAGUGUCUGUGUUUCUUUGCUUACUCUAACCUUUUCUUUUUGUUUUUCUGUUUCAAAAGUGGCUUUAUCUUUGCAAUUCUUCCCAUAAGGCCUGCACCCCUGAGUCUUCUCUUUACUGUUGUACAUGAAACUGGUGUUGAGCGGGUAGAAUUCAAUGAAGCUGUCAGCUGAGGACAUGUGAGGCAUCUAUUUCUCAAACUAGAGAUACUUAUCCUCUUGUUUAGUUGUACAUCUGGCCUUCCACAUCUCUUUCUGUACUUGUUAGAGUCAGUUGUCCUUUGUCUUUGAAGACUGUAGUGUACACCUUUGUAUAAAAUCUUCAGUUUUCUGGCAAUUUCAAGCAUUGUAUAGCCUUCAUUCCUCAAAACAAUGAUUGACUGAGUUUUUAGAGAAUGCUGUUUCUUUUUUGCCAUUUUUGAUCUAAUAUUGACCUUAAGACAUGCCAGUCUAUUGCAUACUGUGGCAACUCAAACUCAAAAACAAACACAAAGACAAUGUUAAGCUUCAUUUAAUGAACCAAAUAGUUUUCAGCUGUGUUUGGUAUAAUGGCAAGUGAUUUUCUAGUACCAAAUUAGCAAUUUAGCAUGAUUACUCAAGGAUAAGGUGUUGGAUAUAAAUAUAUACACACUGGCAGCCAAAAGUUUGGAAUAAUGUACAGAGUUUGCUGUUUCUGAAGGAAAUUGGUACAUUCAUUCACCAAAGUGGCAUUCAACUGAUCACAAAGUAUAGUCAGGACAUUACUGAUCAUCAUAUGGCAUCAUAUUUCUAAUGUGCUUGUUCAUCAAUUUGUUGCAGAUACAUUCGAUUGCAUCUAUUUAAAAAUGAACAGCAAAAUAAGAUCAAAUAAACAAAAUACAAUGAGAAAUUAGAGAAUCUUUCACAUUUAAAUGGAAUUUCAUCCAUGCUUGCAAAUGAAAGGAAUAUUCCGGGUCCAAAACAAGUUAAGCUCAAUUAACAGCACUUGUGGCAUAAUGCUGAUUAACACAACAUUUUUAUAUGACUUCUCCCUUCUUUUAUUUCACUGGCCAGUGGAGGUGGUAAGAAGCUUAAAGGAAUAUGACUUACAUUCAUAUUUUAUCACUUUUAUAGGCCAGGCAUUAUUGAAUCACUAUCAGAUUGUAUCAUUAUUGAUUCAAGAAUUAAUUGGGCCUCUAUCAAACAACAUUUGGUAUCACUGAAAAGCCACUGAAAAUUAUGAAUUGUUGGGUCACAUAAGCACUCAUGUUCCUCUUAUUCAUUAUUUUGUUUACAAAAAUCUGUCUCUCAUGAACGGUAUUACUGAUUUGCACAACUGUUGCUGAAGCUUAACUGUUUUUGAUGCUGAUCAUUGUGUUUUCAGACAGUAUGAAGUCAUAUUCAUUUUCCUUUGUUUAUUAUUUUGCUUCUUACUUCUUGUCAUUGCAGACUUUAUAUUGCCAGAAUAUGAACUACAAUGGGCAAAACUUGUAAAAAUGUUGUAAUAUAAACACUGGCCACUGGGUGGUACAAGUAAAUGUACUUGAACCUUUAGUUCUAUAAUCUGAAUAUUGACCUCUAAUUCCACCUCAGAAUCCUGCUGUUUAAAAAAAACUAAUUUAUCAAACAUGCUGUAAAAAUCUAGAUUUCAAAUGAACCAAUUUCAGAUUCAAAUACUUUUGUCAUUAUUCUAGCUCCACAGGUAUCAUGAUUACAAGAUUCUAGAUCAAAUUGAAUUUUAUGGAGUUUUGUAACUGAUGUGUCUCUCUCUUAACAUGUGGAUAUCUUCCACCUCCAAUACCAUGUGUACCAGUGCCUGUGACUGAGCCUGUCCCAAAGCCAACAGAGUGGAAUAAGAAGAUUCCUUCCAACUCAGAGGAAAGAGUCCGCACAUUUUUUCAGAAUACAUCUCGAACAACUACUGCUACAGCUCUGCCCUGGUCAAAGAAGGAAUUAUAACCAACAUGGAAACCUUGAAUUAUGAGCUUACUAAUGUCGUCAGGAUCUCUAGGAAGAUUCCCAACUGUCCCGUUCUCUCAGGAAGGGCAGUGUGUGGAUGCUGGUAUUCAACUUGCUCCAAGACCAUGGGAGAUUGCAGUCCAACUUCCAGCCUUCUUUCAAGAACACAAGCAGAACAUUAGAAUGCCCUUUACUUCCUCAGUCAAGGUUUAACAAGAACCACCAAUACAGUAACAACAGAAAAUGCAGCCACAUUCAUUAGAUUUUGUAUGAGAAUAUUUUUACAUGAACAUCACUAUCUGUAACUAUGGGGUUUUGAUAGCAUUUUAAUUAGGGUACGUUUACACGACAACGAUGUACUAAAAACGGAAACGUUUUUCCUUUGCGUUUUUGAAAAGUUUCGCAUACAGACGACAACGUUGUCAAAAUGAUACCCGUUCACACGGAUCCGCGAAAACGACUACAAACGCUGUAUUAUGCAUGCCAGGCCAGUAGUUGGCGAUGUGACUUUGUAAAGAAACACUACGCGCCUGCACACAUAAGCAUUCUUCUGCAGAGCGGUGAAUACUGUACAAACAAUGAAGAUGGCGAUCGCUGGUUGUAGUAGUGAUGCAGUAAAUCUACACUUUGCAGGAGAAGUGUCUAUAAACUCAAAAUCUUGAGCAGCACAAACACAGUCCAGGCCCCAAAACGCUGUUGUCGUGUAAACGAACAGCCAAAAUGCAUAAAAAGUUUUCCGCUUUUAGUUGAAAACGUUGUCGUGUAAAUGGCCCCUUAAACUGGCAAAAGAUUGCAAGGUCUUUCCUUAUACAAAAGUAAUUGAAAUAGUCUUGUUACUGUAAAGUGAAAAUGCUUUAGUAUAUAGUAAAACUUGUGGGGUCUUGCUGCUGCCAAACUUGACCUGCAAUUAUGUUUUAGUUUAAAUUUAUUAAAAGCAGAUGCUUUAUCCAGACAUUUAGCAAGGAAAGUAGGUUAAUCGACAACAACAACAACAGACUUUUAGCUGUGUUGCUACACCAAAUUUAGAGUAAACCAGGAUACAUUAUUAAAAAAGCUUAGACAAAGGUCUAGGUGCAGACACUUAAAAAACUUUUCUGAGCAUUACAGUAUAUCAGUCCUAUAAAAAAGAAGUUAAUAUCGAGUCCCUUACAUUUCAGAAAAAAAAAAUCUAAAAAGUGUUUUUUCUUCACCAAAGAAAGCAGUUUCAAAGAAGCCAAAGCUUUGCGUGUCCUCAAGCAGCGCAGACUGGAGCAAAUGAAUGGAGUGGUGCCAGAUGGGCUGGUUUGAGUAUUUCUGUAACUGCUGAUCUCCUGUGAUUUUCACACACAACUGUCUCUAGAAUUUACUCUGAAUGAUGCCAGAAACAUAAAACAUCCAGUGAGCGGCAGUUCAGUGGACGGAAAUGCCUUGUUGAUGAGAGAGGUCAACAGAGAAUGGCCAGACUGGUUCGAACGGACAAAGUCUACGGUAACUCAGAUAACCGCUCUGUACAAUUGUGGUGAGAAGAAUAUCAUCUCAUGCUAUUCUGAGAUGUGGGUUGGCGCUGAUUUGGCGGCACAAGGGGGACCUACACAAUAUUAGGCAGGUUGUUUUAAUGUUGUGGCUGAUCGGUGUGUAAUAUAUAUAUAUAUAUAUAUAUAUAUAUAUAUAUAUAUAUAUAUAUAUA